rnacentral:rRNA from 1 species
UACGAAGGGAGCAAGUGUUAUUCGGAUUUAUUGGGCGUAAAGGGUGCGUAGGCGGUUCGUUAAGUCGAUUGUUAAAUUUCACUGCCUAACGGUGAGCAAGCAGUUGAUACUGGCAGACUAGAGAUCAGAAGAGAGGAGUGGAAUUCUUGGAGUAGCGGUAAAAUGCGUAGAUCUCAAGAGGAACACCAAUGGCGAAGGCAGCUCCUUGGUCUGAUUCUGACGCUAAAGUACGAAAGCGUGGGGAGCAAACAGG